rnacentral:rRNA from 1 species
UACGAAGGGGGCUAGCGUUGCUCGGAAUCACUGGGCGUAAAGCGCACGUAGGCGGAUCUUUUAAGUCAGGGGUGAAAUCCCAAGGCUCAACCUUGGAACUGCCUUUGAUACUGGGGAUCUCGAGUCCGGAAGAGGUUGGUGGAACUCCGAGUGUAGAGGUGAAAUUCGUAGAUAUUCGGAAGAACACCAGUGGCGAAGGCGGCCAACUGGUCCGGCACUGACGCUGAGGUGCGAAAGCGUGGGGAGCAAACAGG